GUCGCAAGACCAAAGUGGGGGACCUUCGGGCCUCAUGCCAUCAGAUGUGCCCAGAUGGGAUUAGCUAGUAGGUGGGGUAACGGCUCACCUAGGCGACGAUCCCUAGCUGGUCUGAGAGGAUGACCAGCCACACUGGAACUGAGACACGGUCCAGACUCCUACGGGAGGCAGCAGUGGGGAAUAUUGCACAAUGGGCGCAAGCCUGAUGCAGCCAUGCCGCGUGUGUGAAGAAGGCCUUCGGGUUGUAAAGCACUUUCAGCGGGGAGGAAGGCGUUAAGGUUAAUAACCUUGGCGAUUGACGUUACCCGCAGAAGAAGCACCGGCUAACUCCGUGCC
rnacentral:rRNA from 1 species